rnacentral:rRNA from 1 species
AGGUGCGAUCAUACCAGCAAUAAUGCACCGGAUCCCAUCAGAACUCCGAAGUUAAGCUUGCGAAGUCCUCGUGUUGCACCCCUUUUUUUCCCUUUUUGCUUUUGAUUUUUGAUUUAAUUAUUUUGGAUUUCCGCUCUUUUUUAUUUC